GAUGAACGCUGGCGGCGUGCCUAACACAUGCAAGUCGAGCGAUUCUCUUCGGAGAAGAGCGGCAGACGGGUGAGUAACGCGUGGGUAACCUGCCCUGUACACACGGAUAACAUACCGAAAGGUAUGCUAAUACGAGAUAAUAUGCUUUUAUCGCAUGGUAGAAGUAUCAAAGCUUUUGCGGUACAGGAUGGACCCGCGUCUGAUUAGCUAGUUGGUAAGGUAACGGCUUACCAAGGCGACGAUCAGUAGCCGACCUGAGAGGGUGAUCGGCCACAUUGGAACUGAGACACGGUCCAAACUCCUACGGGAGGCAGCAGUGGGGAAUAUUGCACAAUGGGCGAAAGCCUGAUGCAGCAACGCCGCGUGAGCGAUGAAGGCCUUCGGGUCGUAAAGCUCUGUCCUCAAGGAAGAUAAUGACGGUACUUGAGGAGGAAGCCCCGGCUAACUACGUGCCAGCCGCCGCCGUAACAC
rnacentral:rRNA from 1 species